UCCUAGGAACAUGAAAUCUGCCUUCUCUAUUUGUAACUCCUUCAAUUUCAGAUUUUCAAACAUUGUUUAGAUGCCUAUAACCUACUGGUUUCAAUGACAGAAGUUUACGACACUUUGGAUCACUUUUGUGGAUGCCAUGUUGAAUUUGGAUGGUUGUUUCAAACAAUUUUGGAGAACUCAUAUGAAGAGACAAGAAUUUCAGAAACAAAGUGCUAUAAGUGUUUUAUGAAAAUGGCUAUGAUGCGUCAGUUCUAAUUAAUACAUACUUACUAAAACUGGCAUGACUGCCUUCAUCUUCAUUGAAGCAACUGAGAAUAAAUCAGAUGAAAAGACAACAAAUAAAGAAGUUUUAAGCAGUUCA